GAGUAAUUUAACCUCCAACUCUCUGUACAAUCAGGUAAUACUAUUGUACUCAGUUGAGGUGAGAGGCAUGGUGCAUUACCCAGCACAUGGCGGGGCACAGUAAGUGUUUGUUUGGCUUUUUUUCUUUUCUCUCUCUCUCUCUGUGUGUGUUUUUUUUUGUUUUGUUUUGUUGUUUUUUUGUUUUUUUUUUUUUUUUGACAGGGUCUUGCUGUCUCACUCAGGCUGGAAUGUAGUGGUAUGAGCAAGCUUACUGCAGCUUCAGUAGAUCGAAGGUGCUGCCCACCACCACACCCAGCUAAUUGUUUUGAUUUUUAGUAGAGAUGAGGUCUCACUACAUUGCCCAGGCUGGUAUUGAACAUCUGAGCUCAAGUAAUCCUCCCACCUCAGCCUCCCAAAGUAUCUGAAUUACAGGUGAGCCACUGUGCCUGGUCAGCAGGUGGUGUUUUGAGUCCUUCCUAUAAUAACUCUUUGUUGAGCACCAACUACAUGCUAUUGUCCUGGGCCCGGCCCCAAGAUGGUCAUUACUGUGCACAUUGUAAUGCAGCAAGUAUGGAAUUUGCAACCAACACCCAGAUCUUCCGAUAAGUUCCUCCUCUUACCAGCAUGCAAUCCUAGGCAAGUCAUUUUCCUUCUCUGCAUCUCCAUCUCCUUACCUGAAACAAGCAGAGAAGAUUUACAACACUCAUUGAGAUUAUACACCUCAUGCAGUCCUGGCACAAGAUAGGAAUUAAUGUAUUCAUUAUUUCCUUCUUCCUUUCCACAUGUCUGCAUCAGUUAUGUGUGCUAAGUACUCCACACAGCUCAGAGAUGGGAACUUUUGAAACUCUUCUGAUCUAGUGCAAAUGUUCUGGGGAUGGCGAGGAUCUGGAGAAGUCCGGACACAGAGUAAAUCAGGUUGGAGAGAGAUUUUUUUAAAGACAUUGCAAUUGCUUAGGUGAGGAAGACAGAAGACUUCAGAGGAAUCGAAGAUGACUCCUAGGUUUCUGGCUCGAACAACUAGGAAGAGGUUGGUGUCAAAUGCUAGGGAAGAAUUCUCUUUACCUCCUGUCUUAGUCAGUUUGGGCUGCUGUAAAAAAUGCUGUCAAAAUUUAUUUUCUCACAGUUCUGGAGCUUGAAAGUCCAUCAAGGUGUCAACAUUAUUGGUUUCUGGGUGAGGGCUCUCCUGGCUUGCAGACAGCCACCUGCUCCCUGUGUGCUCACAUAGCCUUUCCUUGGCGCUUACACCUGGGAGAGAGUGAGGAAACUCUCUGGUGUCUCUUAUUAAAAGAGCUUUAAUUCCAUUGGACCAGGACCCCACCGUCAUGACCUCGUCUCAUCCUAAUCACCUUCAAAGGCUGUGUCUCCAAAUACCAUCAACUGGGGAUUAGAGCUUCCACAAAUGAAUUUUGAGAGAACACAAACAUUUGAUUCAUAACACCUCCGUAUUAAUAAGAGAGAAAUAAUGAUGACGCGUAUCCUAGUCAUCUUCCUAUUCCAAUGGCUUUGAGCCUCUUUGAUUAUUUCAGGAGGUGGCUUGCAAGCACAUCUGUCUACAUUCGUUUUUCUUCCAUAAGAAAGAUAAAGGGGAAGAGGAGCCUCGGUAGGUGAGUUAGGGCUAAGCUAUGAGUUCAUAGUGAAGACUUUUGUGACACAAGCAUAAAAAACUAGGUUCCUAAGGACCCAGUCAAUGUGAGGCUUUGAACUAGAAACUGGGAUGUCCGCUGAGUCAGAGGCACCCUUACCCUCAAGGAUCUCACGACUUUGUAAAUACAUGGAGGAUUUUCUCAGGAAGUUAGCUGUUUGGACUCUCGUCUCAGGUCAUGAACAUCUUGCCUCUGAAUAUGAAGGUCCUUAAGUGUGACUCCAUCACUUUCCUGUCCAGGACUUCCUCAGGCAGGGGAUGGUCUGCUUACCUGACCCCUAAGUGGCUUGUUAGGAUGAAUCAUGUUCCAGUUCUCUAAGAGGGUUUAUGUGUUGGAAAGAAUAUUCUCUUUGAUCUCAUGGCUUAGAGUGCAUAGGCUUUGUCCAGUUAAUCAUGUAGCUGGCGUCAGGCUUUGCCAGUUUUUAUUUCUUUGAGGCUUUAUGGCAUUUAAAGGGUUGGAGACUGGCCCUGUAGCGAACAUGGUUUUGACUUCAACAGCAACUGAACCUUUUCUCCAGCUCUUUGAUAAUAAUUGAUUAGUCUAGAAGUCCAAGCAAAGGUGGGACUUUCUAAAGUGCCUCAGAUCUAAGGGGUGAUUGAAGGGGUGAGUCUUUAAUAAGGACGCACUCUCUCCUCUCCUCUCCUGAGUCAUUCCCACAUGGUUAAAAGAGCUCUCCCAAUAAAUUUGAUUUUGCCUUAGUGCUUUCCAUUUACAAAGUACAUUCAUUCCACUAUCAAUUUAACCUCUCAAAUCAGCCUUGAGAGGUAGAAAGAGCAAGGCAAAUGGGCUUAAUUUUGCAACAGAGAAAUUCUAACACUCAUUAAAUGAUUUGCUCAAUGUCUCAUGGGGUACGAGUUGUGAGAGGAGCUAACAUUUAUUGAGGGUCUGCUAUGUGACAGUUUCCUUGUAAACCCUAACUUAUAUAGUCUACAACUAACCCUGGGUGGGGGGUAGAUAUUAUUGUGCCCAGUUGAAAGAUGAAGACACUGAGUCAUGAGACAUUUAAAGAGCUAUUUCAAAGCCUCCCAGCCCUUAGAUAUUAAGCCAACAUUGACUUUCUAGUCUUCUGAGAGUCAGUCUGUUAUGCUGUUUAAACUCCUCAUGCCUGACUGUAAGAAGAUAAUAGUACACUAUUUAUGCUUAGUCAAAUCUGGGGUAAGAAGUGCCGUAAAAGGAAAAGAGGCCCAUUUUCCCUCUUUACAGAGAGAUUUGGAAAUUUGCUUUCCUUUACAUAUGAAAUGAAAGAAGACGCAGAGACAUGGACCAGCUGCUGCGUGUGCUUCUCUCUGAAGUCUGAGCCGAGAUUCCCUAAGCUUGACUGCAUCGCUUAAGACCACAGGCCAGGGCAGCAGCCCUUCUGCGAAAAAAGCCACCUUUUAACCGGCUUGUUCGUUUUCUUCUUCUUGCACACUCUGUGGUCUGGCAAGGAGCAGGGGGGCCUCAAUAGCAAAGCCCUCACAACAGCAAUCCUUCUCAGUUCCCACUCUGAGUGAACCCGGUUCAACUUCUCGGGCUAACAGAGAUUUUAAUCGAAAUGAACUGACAGAGAAUUUGCUAAGUCCAAGAACACACAGUCUCGAGGUGACUGGACAGGAACAGAAGCCUCUAAAAGCUGAAAGAAUGAGGCAAAGGCUUUCCCCUCGGCAGACUCUGGCCUCCCUUCUUGACACUUCCUCUUGGGCUCUGUGAGUGUUUGCCCAGGGUUAUUGGCGAUGUCAUUGGGUGUCAGCUGAUCGACAGCGAAAGGGAGAGGAGCUAGAGCUACUGCAGGCCAGGAGCACACACGCUGGAUCUCAUCUCAUCUCCAUCUAACUCCUAUGUGAAGUGGGCUGUUGGAACCCCUUUCCCACAUUUGAGGAAACUGAGGCUCUAAAACGUGCAGUACGUCGUCUAAGCUCCCUGGUCCUCCAGAUGACAACUGUGAGAGAUUGCUUGGAUGCUUGGGGACUUUGUGAAGUCAACAUUAUACAGCAGCCAGAGCAAAUGCCUCAGCUUCAAAGACACCUUCAAGAACCUGUCUUUUCCAUGCUCUGAGCAUGCCCAUGUAAAAUCCUCACCUUGGGUAAGAUUGCCUCUUUGUGUGGCUGCCUCUCUUCUCAAGGGAAG
rnacentral:lncRNA from 1 species